rnacentral:misc_RNA from 1 species
CCAAAACCGAUGCGUUAGGGAUGGGAGCGACAUCUCCCGAUUUAGAAAAACAAGGCUUUUUCAGCCGUAGUUUUUAUUAAUAGGGAAUACAGCGGACAGCCCGACCCGCA